GACGAACGCUGGCGGCGUGCUUAACACAUGCAAGUCGAACGGAAAGGCCCCUUUGGGGGUACUCGAGUGGCGAACGGGCGAGUAACACGUGAGUAACCUGCCCUUGACUUCGGGAUAACUUCAGGAAACUGGGGCUAAUACCGGAUAGGAAUCCUUGCUUCAUGGAGGGGGUGGGAAAGCUUCGGCGGUUUUGGAUGGACUCGCGGCCUAUCAGCUUGUUGGUGGGGUAGUGGCUUACCAAGGCUUUGACGGGUAGCCGGCCUGAGAGGGCGACCGGCCACAUUGGGACUGAGAUACGGCCCAGACUCCUACGGGAGGCAGCAGUGGGGAAUAUUGCACAAUGGGCGGAAGCCUGAUGCAGCAACGCCGCGUGCGGGAUGACGGCCUUCGGGUUGUAAACCGCUUUCGGCAGGGGCGAAGCGUGUGGGGACGGUACCGGCAGAAGAAGCACCGGCGAACUAGGG
rnacentral:rRNA from 1 species